UAGGGGAAAUAAAAUAAUCACUAUUCAAGUAUAUCGAAAUAAUUUAAUUAUAAGGAUAAUAGAAUUGUUACCUUAUUCCAGAUCAUUUCCAGAUUGUUCCAGAUCCAAGGAAUGAAAUUCUAAAAAAUCUUUAUUAUAUAUGCGUAUAUAUGUGUAUAUUUUCAGCUGACCAAUGCGAAUCUUAUACACAGUAGUGACAUUUCUUCAAAUCAUAUUAUCUCUGUCUCUAUGAAACAAUAUACGUGCUCCCCACCUCCUACCAUGGAAUCUUCGCAAAAGAAGUGAUCCUUCUUCUGAGAAAAAAAUAUGAUGAAAAAAAAGAGGCGACGCUUUUCGAGGUAGAUGCAUCGACCCUCUGUCUCUGGGGGUAGGUGUCUCGUGUACGAGGUCAAAGUCAAGGUCGUACACGUGUCGACCGAAUAGGUGCCCCUCCGGAACACACGUGCACCCCCACUUCUGUGGAAGCAAGCAUAUUGCUGCAACAGGUUCAAUGUCAAGGACGCAAUCAAGAAUCGACAGAAAUACCGUUCGAUUCGCCAUCUGUUUUGUUUAUCAUUCUAUUAUUCGCUUAUACAUUAUUUUAUUCUCAUUCUACGUACAUUCUGCUACACGCUUUGAAUUCUGCAACAUUUUAUAUUUUUUAAUAUUUUCUAAUUUUUAUUAUUAUUAUUAUUAUUAUCAUAUGUUUCUUAAAAAUAAUUUCAUCAAGAUAUAAUUUUUCUUAAUUUCAAUUUUGAUUAAUAUAAAUAUAAUAUAGAUAAUGGAAUAAAUAUCAAAUAUUAAAUAUAGUAAAAUUAAAUAGAAAAAAAAUUACAUAUGUUUUAUAUGUGAUAAUUUAUAUACUUUUAGAAUUUUUUUUAAAUUAUAAUAUUCUUAGCUUUUCAUUCGAUCAAAGUUUACUAUAAUAAGAAUAACAUUUCGAAAUUAAAAUUAUAAUUAAUUAUCGUUGAUUUUUCGUUUGUUCCAUUGCAUAAUGAAGAUAAAUAAAUAAUAAGAUAAUAAUAAUAAUGUUAAAAUAAUAGGAAAUAAAAGUUAUUCGAAAUAUUGAUUAAGCAAGAAAAUAAACAAUCGAGUGAAAAUAAAUGUAUCUGCAAAUUUCAUCAAAAUAGAUUACGAAAUGAUUAAUCAUCCGUGAAAAUGAUAGAGAAAUUUUGAAACGUUGUUCAGUUUAUGUUGAAAUUAAAACAAAAUUGAUUGUUGAACGAUGUUGAAACAUGAACUUAUUUAAAGCUUUUUUUAAUAAGUUAUUUUGUGUUAUUUUUAAACGUUCCUUGAAAAAUAUACACAUUAUAAGUAGAUAUAUGUAUCACAUGUAUAACAAAUCUUAAUGAAUAAUUAAACAAUCUUAAUGAUU